GGGCCCGCACAAGCGGUGGAGUAUGUGGUUUAAUUCGAUGCAACGCGAAGAACCUUACCAGGGUUUGACAUCCUGCGAAUCUCUUGGAAACAGGAGAGUGCCUUCGGGAACGCAGUGACAGGUGGUGCAUGGCUGUCGUCAGCUCGUGUCGUGAGAUGUUGGGUUAAGUCCCGCAACGAGCGCAACCCACGUCUUUAGUUGCCAGCAUUUAGUUGGGCACUCUAGAGAGACUGCCGGUGAUAAACCGGAGAAGGUGUGGAUGACGUCAAGUCAUCAUGCCCCUUACAUCUGGGCUACACACGUGCUACAAUGGCCGGUACAGAGGGCAGCAAACUCGCGAGAGCUAGCAAAUCCCAUAAACGUGGCUC
rnacentral:rRNA from 1 species